GGACUAUUAGAUUAGAUUAGAUUAUUCUUGAGAAAAGAGAAGCUGCGGUGAUCCUGCAGCCGCCCAUAUCUCACCAGUGAAUAAUUGGCUAGGUCUGAUCAUUGGUCCAAUUGGCUAAAAGUUCAGUUUGAAGAUUCUCCUCGAGAAGUUCAAUUCUACAGUAGUUUGAAGCUAAAAUUUUCAACCCAAUUUUAAUGGGGCAAGCCCAACCUGCCAGCUUAAAUAAUCUACUAUUUGAUCUAAAAUGACCUAUAAUUUAUUUUAAUUUAAAUAAAACUUAAAAAAUU
rnacentral:misc_RNA from 1 species